AGUGAACGCUGGCGGUAGGCCUAACACAUGCAAGUCGAACGGCAGCACAGUAAGAGCUUGCUCUUACGGGUGGCGAGUGGCGGACGGGUGAGGAAUACAUCGGAAUCUACUUUUUCGUGGGGGAUAACGUAGGGAAACUUACGCUAAUACCGCAUACGCCCUACGGGUGAAAGCAGGGGAUCUUCGGACCUUGCGCGAUUGAAUGAGCCGAUGUCGGAUUAGCUAGUUGGCGGGGUAAAGGCCCACCAAGGCGACGAUCCGUAGCUGGUCUGAGAGGAUGAUAAGCCACACUGGAGCUGAGACACGGUCCAGACUCCUACGAGAGGCAGCAGUGGGGAAUAGUGGACAAUGGGCGCAAGCAUGAUCCAGCCAUACCGCGUGGGUGAAGAAGGCCUUCGGGUUGUAAAGCCCUUUUGUUGGGAAAGAAAAGCAGCAGGUUAAUACCCCGCUGUUCUGACGGUACCCAAAGAAUAAGCACCGGCUAACUUCGUG
rnacentral:rRNA from 1 species